rnacentral:lncRNA from 1 species
AGGGUUGCACCUCCUAACAGUGCCAGUCCCUGGGUCAAGCAUAUUCACUCCACAAGGCCUACCCAGGCAGGGAAGAGCUAUUAAGCUUCUCUGUCAGAUUAUAAUAUAGAAUGUACUAGUUACUAGUUGGUUUUUGGGGUUUUUUGUUUUGCCCACUUUGGUUUCAGUUUGUUUUGUUUUUUCUUUUUUCUUUUUUUCGGAGCUGGGGACCGAACCCAGGGCAGGCAAGCGCUCUACCACUGAGCUAAAUCCCCAAUCCCAUUUUGUUUGUUUUUAAGACAGGGUUUUUCUAUGUAGCCCUGGGCCAGGUUGGCCUUGAACUCAGAGAACUAUUUGCCUCUGCCUUCUGAGUGUUGGCAUUAAAAGCAUGUGCCACCUCCACCCAAAGUCACCUGUAUUAGUCAGGGUUCCCUAAAGGAUGGAUAUUAAAGUUAGAUUUAUUAGAGUUGUUUAUAGGCUGUGGUCUGGGUAGGCCAUAAUGGGUGUCUACUGAUGGAAAGGCCAAUCAUCCUUGGUUCUGUCCAGGAGACUAGUUAUCUCAGCAGUUUCAAUCUGGUGCUAGGGUCCUAGAAGAUUCCUAAAGAGCUCCUGGUCUUUAAUCUGUGUUGGAAUCCCAAAAAGUAGGUUCUAAAAUGAGCAAAGGAAUGCCUCAGAACCUUGAUGGAUCAAUUUGCCAGUGUGCUGGCAAGAGAGUGGGGAGAGAGAGGGGAUGGCAGAAGGAGGCCCAUAGCUAGCCUUGCAGGCUCAUGCUGUAAUUGGAAACUGAAAGUCAGGGAUGAGGAAAGUGUAGCAGCAAAGGAAACCUACUUUCUUGUGGUAAUGAAUACAAAUCUCUCUGCUUGAGUGACCGGUGCAUGCGAAGCAUGUGUGUUCAGUGCAAGUGUGCUCAAUGCAGGUAUGUUCAGGGCAGGUGUGCUCAAUGCAGGUGUGUUCAGGGCAGGUGUGCUCACUGCAGGUGUGUUCAGGGCAGGUGUGCUCACUGCAGGUGUGUUCAGGGCAGGUGUGUUCAGUGCAGGUGUGUUCAGUGCAGAUGUGUUCAGUGCAGGUGUGUUCAGGGCAGGUGUGCUCAAUGCAGGUGUGUUCAGGGCAGGUGUGUUCAGUACAGGUGUGUUCACUGCAGGUGUGUUCAGUACAGGUGUGUUCAGUGCAAGUGUGCUCAAUGCAGGUGUGUUCAGUGCAGAUGUGUUCAGUGCAGGUGUGUUCAGGGCAGGUGUGCUCAAUGCAGGUGUGUUCAGGGCAGGUGUGUUCAAUGCAAGUGUGCUUAAUGCAGGUGUGUUCAGGGCAGGUGUGUUCAGUGCAGGUGUGUUCAGUUCAGGUGUGUUCAGUGCAGAUGUGUUCAGUGCAGAUGUAUUCAGUGCAGGUGAGUUCAAUGCAGGUGUGUUCAGGGCAGGUGUGUUCAAUGCAAGUGUGCUUAAUGCAGGUGUGUUCAGGGCAGGUGUGCUCAGGGAAGGUGUGUUUAG